rnacentral:rRNA from 1 species
CCUACGGGAGGCAGCAGUGAGGAAUAUUGGUCAAUGGACGAGAGUCUGAACCAGCCAAGUAGCGUGAAGGAUGACUGCCCUAUGGGUUGUAAACUUCUUUUAUAUGGGAAUAAAACGUUCCACGUGUGGGAUUUUGUAUGUACCAUAUGAAUAAGGAUCGGCUAACUCCGUGCCAGCAGCCGCGGUAAUACGGAGGAUCCGAGCGUUAUCCGGAUUUAUUGGGGUUAAAGGGAGCGUAGGUGGAUUGUUAAGUCAGUUGUGAAAGUUUGCGGCUCAACCGUAAAAUUGCAGUUGAAACUGGCAGUCUUGAGUACAGUAGAGGUGGGCGGAAUUCGUGGUGUAGCGGUGAAAUGCUUAGAUAUCACGAAGAACUCCGAGUGCGAAGGCAGUUCACUGGACUGCAACUGACACUGAGGCUCGAAAGUGUGGGUAUCAAACAGGAUUAGAUACCCUUGUAGUC